rnacentral:rRNA from 1 species
GUAGGGAAUAUUGGGCAAUGGGCGAAAGCCUAACCCAGCAACGCCGCGUGUACGAUGAAGGCCUUCGGGUCGUAAAGUACUUUUCUGAGAGAUGAGAAAGGACAGUAUCUCAGGAAUAAGUCUCGGCUAACUACGUGCCAGCAGCCGCGGUAAAACGUAGGGGGCGAGCGUUGUCCGGAGUUACUGGGCGUAAAGGGCACGCAGGCGGUGCUGCGCGUUUCGCGUGACAGCGGGUGGCUUAACUACCCGAGGGUGCGAAAGACGGCAGGGCUAGAGGGCCAGAGAGGGACACGGAAUUCCGGGUGGAGUGGUGAAAUGCGUAGAGAUCCGGAGGAACACCGAAGGCGAAGGCAGUGUCCUGGCUGGUGACUGACGCUGAGGUGCGAAAGCCAGGGGAGCGAACGGGAUUAGAAACCCGAGUAGUCC